rnacentral:rRNA from 1 species
CACGGUAAACGAUGGAUGCCCGCUGUUUGCGAUAUACUGUGAGCGGCCAAGAGAAAUCGUUAAGCAUCCCACCUGGGGAGUACGCCGGCAACGGUGAAACUCAAAGGAAUUGACGGGGGCCCGCACAAGCGGAGGAACAUGUGGUUUAAUUCGAUGAUACGCGAGGAACCUUACCCGGGCUUGAACUGCCAGUGAACGAUACAGAGAUGUUGAGGCCCUUCGGGGCGCUGGUGGAGGUGCUGCAUGGUUGUCGUCAGCUCGUGCCGUGAGGUGUCGGCUUAAGUGCCAUAACGAGCGCAACCCUUUUCAUUAGUUGCCAUCAGGUAAAGCUGGGCACUCUGGUGAUACUGCCACCGUAAGGUGUGAGGAAGGUGGGGAUGACGUCAAAUCAGCACGGCCCUUACGUCCGGGGCUACACACGUGUUACAAUGGGUGGUACAGAGAGUCGGAUCAACGUAAGUUGGUUCUAAUCCUAAAAGCCAUCCUCAGUUCGGAUUGGGGUCUGCAACCCGACC